GACGUAGGGCGCGAGCGUUGUCCGGAUUUAUUGGGCGUAAAGAGCUCGUAGGCGGCUUGUCGCGUCGACUGUGAAAUCCCGCGGCUCAACUGCGGGUCUGCAGUCGAUACGGGCAGGCUAGAGUUCGGUAGGGGAGACUGGAAUUCCUGGUGUAGCGGUGAAAUGCGCAGAUAUCAGGAGGAACACCGAUGGCGAAGGCAGGUCUCUGGGCAGUAACUGACGCUGAGGAGCGAAAGCGUGGGGAGCGAACAGG
rnacentral:rRNA from 1 species